rnacentral:misc_RNA from 1 species
AGUGUAAACUAGAAAUGAAUUUGGUAUGUUAGUCUUUUGCAGUUAAAUAGUUGAGUUUUUCCUUCUCUACUUGAAAUGUUAUCAUUUCUAGUUGCUGUGGUUUCUACGCAGAUACUAUUGUCUUAUAUUUUGCUAGUGUUUGGUGAUUCAUACACUUAAAUACUGUUUUUUUUUUCAUUAUAAAGGAUGACUGCCGACUGGUUAGGGA